rnacentral:rRNA from 1 species
AUUGAACGCUGGCGGCAGGCCUAACACAUGCAAGUCGAACGAGUGGCGGACGGGUGAGUAAUGUCUGGGAAACUGCCCGAUGGAGGGGGAUAACUACUGGAACCGGUAGCUAAUACCGCAUACCAUCGGAUGUGCCCAGAUGGGAUGAGCUAGUAGGUGGGGUAACGGCUCACCUAGGCGACGAUCCUGAGCUGGUCUGAGAGGAUGACCCGCCACACUGGAACUCAGACACGGUCCAGACUCCUACGGGAGGCAGCAGUGGGGAAGAUGGCACAAGGGGGGCAAGCCUGAUGCAGCCAUGCCGCGUGUAUGAAGAAGGCCUUCGGGUUGUAAAGUACUUUCGGCGAGGAGGCGUUACUCGCAGAAGAAGCACCGGCUAACUCCGUGCCAGCCGCCGCGGUAAUUC